AUGACCGUCCAUCGCAUGGUGGAUGGUGUAAAGCUCCGGCGGUGCAGGAUGAGCCCGCGGCCUAUCAGCUAGUUGGUGAGGUAGUGGCUCACCAAGGCGACGACGGGUAGCCGGCCUGAGAGGGCGACCGGCCACACUGGGACUGAGACACGGCCCAGACUCCUACGGGAGGCAGCAGUGGGGAAUAUUGCACAAUGGGCGAAAGCCUGAUGCAGCGACGCCGCGUGAGGGAUGACGGCCUUCGGGUUGUAAACCUCUUUCAGCAGGGAAGAAGCGAAAGUGACGGUACCUGCAGAAGAAGCGCCGGCUAACUACGUGCCAGCAGCCGCGGUAAUACGUAGGGCGCAAGCGUUGUCCGGAAUUAUUGGGCGUAAAGAGCUCGUAGGCGGCUUGUCACGUCGGUUGUGAAAGCCCGGGGCUUAACCCCGGGUCUGCAGUCGAUACGGGCAGGCUAGAGUUCGGUAGGGGAGAUCGGAAUUCCUGGUGUAGCGGUGAAAUGCGCAGAUAUCAGGAGGAACACCGGUGGCGAAGGCGGAUCUCUGGGCCGAUACUGACGCUGAGGAGCGAAAGCGUGGGGGAGCGAACAGGA
rnacentral:rRNA from 1 species